AGGGGUAUAGCUCAGUUGGUAGAGCGACGGUCUCCAAAACCGUAGGUCGAGGGUUCGAAUCCUUCUGCCCCUGCCA
rnacentral:tRNA from 2 species